UUUGUUCUGCCCACAACAGGAAGCCACUGAAGGGUUUUACACAAGGGAGUGAGAUGAUCUGAUUUCAUAUUUUUAGAAGAUCAUUCUGGCCUCUGUGCAGAGGGCAAGAAUAGAAGAAGAUCAGGUUAUCACAGUGGUUCAACAAGAUGACUGCAGCUCGGAGCUAGAGAUGACAAAAGCGGAGGGAUUUAGCAGGUCUUGGGGAAGAGAUGGCAAGACUUGCUGAUGGCGUAUAUGAAGGGAAUGACGGGGACAAGAAGGAUCGAGAGCGACACCUGAAUUAGACUGUAGCAGCUGUGCAGAGUGUGCUGUCACCCACUAAAGUGGUGAAGACCACAGGAGAAACAGAAGUCCACAAAGAAUUCCAGUCAGCUGUCGCAUGCUUAGAGAAGAGAUCUUGUCUCUUUAAAAUAUUGCCAAAUGAAGCUAGCUGCCGGACCAGGGGCUUCUGUGAAGACACGUCCACUGUUCCCCUUCAGCUCCCUCUUUCACCGCCAACCCACUGCCAUCAAACUCUCCCCUUUCUCCACCAUCAGCACUUGCUUUUACAAAAUUAUCAUUACAAUAACAAGAGGACCUUUCAUUUUAAUAAAAGAUCUGGAAGGAUCUACACUAAAGUGUUAGCUGCUAUUUCUGCGUGAAGAGAUUAUGGAAUUUUUUUCUUAUUAUCAUGUAUGUGAAUAAUUAAUUAUGCAAACUAGUAUUGAUUUGGUGAUAAGAAAAUAAAAGUAAAAGUUUUUUCCCCUCCAAGAAAAAGAAUGCUUCAUCUUUUUAUGAGAAUUUACUCUCUAUAAAGGACUUUUAGUUCCAUUGCAUCAAUGGCACUUCCUAACCACCCUCUGAAUAAAUCAUUUAUUCCCACUUACAGAUGAGACCACCAAGAGGGAGAGAAGGGAAUUGUUUGGCU